AAGUCGUAACAAGGUUUCCGUAGGUGAACCUGCGGAAGGAUCAUUAGUGAAUUUACUUUUCCUCUUUUAGAGGAGGGUUGGCGAGCCUCCGGGCUUGUCUUCCUGGAAAAUACACAUCCAUAACACCUGUGAAAUGUCUUGUCAGGCCCAGUUGCUCUGUGCGCUGGUCUUGUCAAACCUACAAACUUACUCUGUAAAAAAUGUCGAAUUAUUAUAAUCUAAUAAAACUUUUAACAACGGAUCUCUUGGCUCUC
rnacentral:misc_RNA from 1 species